rnacentral:tRNA from 1 species
GGGUAUGUGGCUCAAGAGGUAAAGCAUCUGCCUGGCAAGCAUAAGGUCCUGAGUUCAAGCCCCAGUACUACUU